UACGUAGGCAGCAAGCGUUGUUCGGAGUUACUGGGCGUAAAGCGUGUGUAGGCGGUUUGCCAAGUCCGGUGUGAAAUCUCCCGGCUCAACUGGGAGGGUGCGCCGGAAACUGGCAGGCUAGAGUGCGGGAGAGGAGAGCGGAAUUCCUGGUGUAGCGGUGAAAUGCGUAGAUAUCAGGAGGAACACCGGUGGUGUAGACGGCUCUCUGGGCCUUUACUGACGCUGAGACGCGAAAGCUAGGGGAGCAAACGGG
rnacentral:rRNA from 1 species